UUGACAAUAAGAUCCAAAGAAAUAUCGCCUAGACAAAACUUUGCCAUGCUGCUGAAAUGGGAUCCAAGUGGCCUCAGAGUCUCAUCUACAGGGAACAUUACCAAUCUCUUCAAGACAUAAUUACAGGCUUACAUAUGCUUAAUUUAAUUAACAGGUUAAAGACUUCUGUGUAAAAACUCUGUGAUUUCCAGGCAACAUUCUGGAAGCAGCAAGAGAGAAUUACAAUUGAUCUGGACUUGAGAGUUUCAUGUAUAGACUGCUCUCUGGAGGUACAGAGAGAAAAGCAAGUCUACAGCUUCACUCUGUAGAGUGAAGAGAGCUUAUUUUAGAUAACCCAGACAAAGCAAAGUCUGUACAUUUUUCAUCUCAAAUGCCAAGUGGGUUACUACAAGCCCAUCACCCUCAACACUCCCCACCACAUACUGCUCUAUCUUUGACUUGUGAUCUAUUCUCAUCAGCAAACAAGAUGGGAGAAAAAUAAAAAUACAUUCAAGGUAAGAUUUGCUCCCCUGACACACCCUCAUUUGGAUAUAUAUGUGUCCUGGUUCAUGUACCAAGAUGCCACCUCUUGCUCUGGGUCAAAAGAAGUUGAUGUUUCUUCCUGCUUUUCUGAAAACAUUGCUGAUAAUUGUACAACUCAUAGUAAUUUUUCUCUCCUACACCAACACAUGUGAUCUGGAAAUGGCCAUCAGGGGUCAUAGGAAUGCAGUCAUGAUUCUUUUGUAUUCUUGUGCAUUGGUUCCUGGUUUCUCGUUUCUGCUGUGUAUCCUUACUGUGUUGCUAGUGUUGUAUUGUUGGCAUAUUAUUAAGAUUUCUGAAAAGACUUAUGAAAUUUAAGGAUAUGAGAAUGGAGCCUUAAAUAAUUCAGAAUAUUCUAGAAAUAAUCUUGUUUACAUAGAUACAUCUGAUUAUGUGGGGAUAUUUUAAUUCCACUUGAAUUCAAAUGAAAAAGUGCCAUAGCUUUCUGGCAUAACAAUUUCACCUAUCCUUUUUCUUGGCAGGGUUUACACAGACAUUUUAAACAUAUCAUUAAACAAUUAGCAUUAUUCUCUUUGUCAGUAGAAAAAAAUAUAUAAAACUCAAGAGCCUCAAUAGUCAAAUGCUAAGACAGUGAUCUUUCAUUCCCUUCAAUAAGUUGAACUCUUUUUAAUUCUAAGGCAUGCACUGUCACCACACUAAUUGCAUUGUAGAUAGCUCUUAGCUUUGCUCUGAUUAUUAACAAAUAUAUUUGUAGGAAAAAAAAUGCUGUGAGAUCUUUAAAUUAAUACAAAAGAGCAAUAUCUGAUGUAGUUAAAUUUUUAUGUGUUUAGAGUUGCUUAAAUUUGUCUGUUUGGCAAAGUGGGAGCAUGAUCUUAUUAAGCCAGAAUAGGUGAUUCAGAUAUACACACAUAAAGACUCACAGAAAACAGUCAAUACUCCUAAACCCAAACAUCCUUGAAAGUGUAUAUUUUGAGCCUGUGAAUGAGAGAAUGACAGUAAUUUUUUAUGCUUAGAAAUUGAAUUUAAUAUCCCACCAGUGUAAAAAUAUAAGAUCAUUUAACACUCACUUUACUUAUUUUGUGCCAGAUACUGCGUUCUGCAUGAGAGAUCCAAAAAUGAAAAGACAGUGCUCCUUUUUAUAACUUACAUUUUAUCAUAUAGAUAGACAUGUAAAAAACUACGGUACAAUAUAUGUUCAACAAUAAUGGUAUAAUGGAAGAAUAUCAAAUCACCUUCUGGGAUUAUGGUUUAAAUAUAUUAUCAUUAAUACCCAAAUAUUGAUGGCCUAAUGCCAAGGGAACCGGGAGAUUUCUGAAACUACUUUAAGCUGGAGAUCCAUGUGAAAUCUUGUAAAGUUUAGAGGCUUGAUAUUUCUGUAUUUUAGAUACAAAGGAAUAGGGGGGAAAAGGAAGUGGACUUUCACAGCUAGGUUGCUUGAGGUCCAGUGUUAAUUAUGUAAGUGAAUCAGCAACUCCAGUUCAUACAGGAAAUUGAUUGAGGAAGGGACAAAUAAGUGUUCUAGGCAGCGUCACUUACAAAGGCCUGGAGAUGUAAAAAUUAUAGUAAUUGGAGAAUUGCAAAUGGUUUGUUGCUACUAGAAUUUGGAAUGUAAUUUUUAAGAGAUUGCAAAAUAAAAAAUAAUAAUAAUAAAAAGAAUAGUCUGGGCUGGGUGCGGUGGCUCACACCUGUAAUCUCAGCACUUUGGGACGGCCAGGCAAGUGGAUCAUCUGAGGUCAGGAGUUCACUGCUACCAGCCUGGCCAACAUGGUGAAACCUCGUCUCUACUAAAAAUACAAAAUAUUAGCCAGGCGUGGUGGCAGGCGCCUGUAAUCCCAGCUACUUGGGAGGCUGAGGCAGGAGAAUCACUUGAGCCUGGGAGGCAGAUGUUGUGGUGAGCCCAGAUAGCACCAUUGCACUCCAGCCUGGGCAACAAGAGCAAAACUCUGUCUCAAAAAAAAAAAAAAAAAAAAAAGAAAAAAAAAGAAAAGAAAAGAAGAAAGAAAAGACUAGUCUGGUAUACAAGACCUUAGCUCAUAAAACACUUCAUAGAAUAAGUUGUGGAGUUUUCAAACAUUUUAUUUGGAGGAAGAUUUAGGGGUUUUUAAGGAAAGGAAUGGUAUAGUCCAAUUUAGAAGCUGUGUAGACCAUCCCAUCAGUAGUGUGGUGUAUGAUUUAGAGAGAAGUGAAAGCUCCUGGCUGUACCAAAGGGAGAUAAUGAUAGAAUGAAAGAGUGUUGAGAAGUGUGAUAUGAGGCCAAAAAUUAAGGCUCAAUAUCAUCUGCUGCCUUGAUAUCUGGUAAAAUCUGAAGGACCUUGAAUGGCAUAUCCACAAGUUUCUCUUACCUCUCUGCUCCAGUGGAUAAGGUUUUCUAGCUAAAAAUCCUCCUGAUUAAAUGGACUCAUUGCAGUUUCUGCUCAUCCCUGAGUAGCGGGUUUUGGUUCCCUGACAAUCUGCAGAGGAAUUCAGACAAGCCCAUCACAUCUUCCUGUGGGAGCUAGCAGUGACCCCUCUCUAUUGGUACUCCAAAACCUGCCUCCCAUAGCCCCUGAUUGUUCACUGUGUUCCUAAGUGCAAGCCCCAUGGGGCUGCAUGGCAUGGGAUGUCCUCCUCUCUGGGCUGUGUGUACAGUUGAUCUCAUCUGUCUUGUGUUGAGUGUUGUGUGUUCAGCCAUUUUUUUAUAACCCCAGGGUAGGAAUCCCUCUCUCACCAAUGGGGUGAAAAGAGGACCUCAUAACAAGUACACGUGGAGAGUAGAGCUCAGAGCUGUUCUGUCUAGUAGCUUUUAGCCACAUGUGACUAUUAAAUGCUUGAAAUGUGGCAAGUCCUAAUUUUUAUGUGCCAUAAGAGUAUAAUACAAACUGGAUUUUGAAGACUAUGAACACAAUAAUAUAAAUAUCUCAGUAAACAUCUUUAUAAUAAUUGCAGGUUGGUAUAUUUUACAUAUGUUGUUGUUGAAUAAAAUAUUAAAAUAAUUUUCAUUUUUAUAGUCUUCUAAAGUGGUUACUGGAAAACUAAAAAUUAUAUACAUGGCUUCCAUUUGUGACUCAUGUUAUAUUUGUACUCUGAGACUCUGGUUUAGUGAAAUGGAUUCAGGAAGAGAUGCAGCAUAACUUGGGUGUAUGGAAGAGAGAGAUUUCUAGAAAGGACUAAAAUGUUGGUCUGGUUGGGUAUAGUCAUUAAAAAGACAAAAAGAUAGAGGAGCAGAAACUUUACUUGCGUGAUGAUUUUGGAUGUCCUCAUUUGAGAUGUCAGGCGGAUAUUUAGUUGAAGAUGAACAGUGUAAGGUGGAUACUAGGUCUGGAAUUCCUGAGGAAGGUUGGUGCUGAAGAUACAGAUUUUGGAGUUGUUACUUCUGGCAUCUAAAGUCAUGGAUAAAAUUUCUAGAGCUAGAAUGUAGAGCAAACUGAAAAGGUGGGUGGUACAUAUUAAAAUACAUAAAAGGGUUAAGUAAAUUAGUACUGCUGAACACACUUGAGUGUUAAUUAAUUAACUAAAAGUUAAUUAACCUUUAG
rnacentral:lncRNA from 10 species